rnacentral:rRNA from 1 species
ACAUAAGACAUGCAAGUCGAACGAAAGUCGUUAUACUGAAUUUGAAAUGAACUGUGAACUUGUUCAGAGGGACUAGAUGAUGAUUAUAACAAUGGCUUUAGUGGCGGACUGGUGAGUAACGCGUAGGUAACCUGCCUAACAGAGGGGAAUAACAGUGAGAAAUCAUUGCUAAUACCGCAUAUGCUCACAGUAUCACAUGAUACAGUGAGGAAAGGAGUAAUCCGCUGAUAGAUGGGCCUGCGUCUGAUUAGCUAGUUGGUUAGGUAAAAGCUGACCAAGGCAACGAUCAGUAGCCGGACUGAGAGGUUAAACGGCCACAUUGGGACUGAGAUACGGCCCAGACUCCUACGGGAGGCAGCAGUCGGGAAUAUUGCGCAAUGGAGGAAACUCCUGACGCAGUGACGCCGCGUAUAGGAAGAAGGUUUUCGGAUUGUAAACUAUUGUCGUUAGGGAAGAUAAAAGACAGUACCUAAGGAGGAAGCCCCGGCUAACUAUGUGCCAGCAGCUGC